GAUAUACUCCCUCCGUCCGAAAAUACUUGUCAUCAAAAUGGACAAAAAGGGAUGUAUCUAGAACUAAAAUACAUCUAGAUACAUCUCCUUUUAUCCAUUUUGAUGACAAGUAUUUCCGGACGGAGGGAGUAGCUA
rnacentral:pre_miRNA from 1 species